rnacentral:rRNA from 1 species
GGAGCUGGCGAUUGGGGUGAAGUCGUAACAAGGUAGCCGUACCGGAAGGUGUGGCUGGAUCACCUCCUUUUUAAGGAG